UUGGAGGGCAAGUCUGGUGCCAGCAGCCGCGGUAAUUCCAGCUCCAAUAGCGUAUAUUAAAGUUGUUGCAGUUAAAAAGCUCGUAGUUGAAUUUUGGAUUCUUCCAAUUGGUCCAUCUUUUAGAUGAGUACUGGUUGUGUGGGGUCUAUCCGCCUGGUGAUACGUAAUGUCCUUUAUUGGAUGUUUCGGGUAGUCAGGACCUUUACCUUGAAAAAUUAGAGUGUUUAAAGCAGGCUUAUGCCGGAAUACAUUAGCAUGGAAUAAUAGAAUAGGACGAAGUUGUUUUAUUUUGUUGGUUUCUAGGACAACCGUAAUGAUUAAUAGGGAUAGUUGGGGCAUUAGUAUUCAAUUGUCAGAGGUGAAAUUCUUGGAUUUAUUGAAGACUAACUACUGCGAAAGCAUUUGCCAAGGAUGUUUUCAUUAAUCAAGAACGAAAGUUAGGGGAUCGAAGACGAUCAGAUACCGUCGUAGUCUUAACCAUAAACUAUGCCGACUAGGGAUCGGGCGAUGUUGUUUCCAUGACUCGCUCGGCACCUUAUGGGAAACC
rnacentral:rRNA from 1 species